rnacentral:misc_RNA from 1 species
GUCCAAAGUUAUUCCAGUCCAAAAUAAAAAAGAGUACUGAUAGUAAGCCUACACUACCUAUACUAUCCUAAAUUAAGCUUCACUCGACAUCUCAGGGUUUUCUCCUUGAUAUUUGGGGAAUUUCCAGGAAAACAGGUAAUUAUUCUUGAAAGUAGUAAACACAUAAUCCACCAAACAAGUCUAAGAUUUUUCCUACUACCUUGACG